AGAGAUUGUGUGCUGGAGACAAAGGGACUUCUGGGUAGGAAGUUUCUAUGCAGCAUAAAUAGCAUUUUGGAAACCUGACUCUUGCCCAGUUGUAAGAACAGGCAAGGUCUCCACAUUUUUAAAUGCUUGCUGCAUUUCUCAUGACUGUAGAGGGGGUGGGAGGGAUUGCCUCUGACUUCAGCAGGAAGAGUUGGAAAUUAGCCAUGGGUUAGAGACUUGAGGAGUUAUAGUUUGAAGUGUUUCAUCUAUUUCCAUAGAAUCACUUGCUUAUUACAAUGUUUUGUCUAGUGCAGUGCUCCAGGAAGUGAGGUUACUGUCCUGUGACAUCUGAAAGGAAGGACUGAGGACAUGUCUCUUCAUGCUGUUCCUUGCUGAAGUGGAGAAAUGCUUCAGAGCUGUGUCAGAUGCUUUCAGCAUGCAGCCACGUGAACAAGCCAAUCUCAGGGGCCAGUCCAGCUCCAGGUUCACAGAAAGCUGUCUCCCACCACAGUGUGAAGCAGCAGCUGAAGGACUCUCCUCACCCACUGCAACACCUUGGCUUACCUCUCUCUGCCUGGAGAAAAGGAUUGUUUGUGUGUGGGUGCCUAGAUCAAAGCAAGGGAUGUUGGGAGCUGCAGGUCCCAGUCUUUGCUCUGUUGGCUCUU